rnacentral:tRNA from 1 species
GUGCGGCAUGCUCGAUACGAGGGUCAGCUUGAGGCCGGCCGGCAGCUGCGCCUGCAGGUCGUUCGAUUCGGCGUCGAGCGCC